GCCCUGGUGGCAUUAUGGUUAAACACUCAGUUGCCAACCGAAAGGUUGGUGGUUCAAAUCCACCCAGCGGCU
rnacentral:tRNA from 1 species